rnacentral:misc_RNA from 1 species
GGGUAGCGAAUAGUUAAGGGGGACGCAGCGAUUCCUCCAAUAUUGGCCAACCAUAAUUCAUCAGGAUUCACUCGAUCCUCCCUUCCUCUGCCGUUUUAUCUCUUCAUUCCAUUUUCUUGGGCAUAACUUACUCAACUAAAAAAUGCCUCUCUUGCCCUCUAUUUUUUAAACACUCAGGCCUUUAUCUUAUAAAAGUGGAUUAGACAUCUAAAAAUUUCAAGAAGAGCAUAUACGCAGUAUUUUCAGUUGAGAAAUGGACAGAAGAGCGUUUGAUGAUAGAAGAAGAAUUGGGACGGUGAAGGCAGCCAUUAAUCUGUACGGAGAAAGAAUUCUUGAGGGUAGUUCUUCACUGAAAAAACCCCAGAUGGAUUUACCUGAGGUAUGAUACUACUCACUACGCAGAACUGCUAGACCCCCGUUUUCUUUGUUAAUCAUGUUCAAAAUAGUUCUGUUUGGUGUUCUCUUGGUAAAUUCUGUGUUUUUGAAUUGGUUUUAGAAGUCUUCUUCAACAGCCAGAGAGCUGCACAUGGCAAAGAGAGAAGUGGUUAGAUAUAAAGAGAAUAGAAUGGCUGCACAGUCAGUGAAAGUCCAAGCAGAAUCUGAGCUCUCAAAUGCUAAAAAGACGGUGAAAGAUCUUGCUUUCCAAAUUGAGGAAUCAACCUCCAAGGCAAAAGCAAGGAUGAGAGAUAUGGAAACUUUGAAGAAGUCAGGUAAGCGCGAAGAUAAGGCCUUGAGGGAUAGGAGUUUCGAGAGUCAUCGAUAUGCAGAAAUGAUGAGAGAAUUGGAACAUGUGAAGCAAGAAUUGAGUAAACUUAAGCUUGAUAUGGCUUCUGUUUUGGAAGAGAAGAAGCGAGCUGAGAAGGAAAUUGAAGGCUCAAGUUCUAAAUUAACGUCUGAUCUGAGCUCUGCAGAAGCACUCAGGAAGGAGAUUGAGGAGGUAAAUGAUGAGCAAGUGCUAGUUGAGUUGGCCGGAAUUGAGGCAUUGAAAGAGUUUGGAGAAAUUGAGGCUCAAAGACAGAAGGAAGCCAAUGAAUUCUCAUUUGAAAUGGAGAAAACUAGACAUAGAAUGAAGGAUGUUAUCGAAGAGAUUGAUCACUCCAAAGAGCUUGAAUCUAAAUUGGCUGUUACAUUAUCGGAUGUGAACGUGCUACAGAAUGAACUAAAGCUUGUUAAAGAAAUAGAAAAAAAGGUACUGAAAAAUGACAGUUUGAAGCAUUCGGGAGGUAGUUUUCGAGAAACUGAAAAAUUGGGGGAUUCAACUUCGCUGAGGUCAGUCACAGAAGAGUUGGGGGCGGCAAAGAAAGAAUUGGCUUCAAUUAGAGAAGAGGGUUUUCAGUUCAUGUCCUCAAUGGAUAUCAUAAGGAAUGAGCUCAAGCAUGUCAGGGAAGAAACAUCCAUGUUGAAGAAAACAGAAGAAAAGGCAGAUUUAACUGUUCAAAAUCUAAAUUCAAAGCUUCUCAGAGCUAAAUCUAAACUGGAAGUUGUGUCUGCAGCUGAGGAAAAGGCUAAAUCAAUUGUCUCCAAUCUGUCUCUGACUCUUGAACAGUUAAAGACAGAAGCAGAUGUGGCAAAGAAAGAAAAGGAGCUUAUAAGCACAGAAACUGCUAACGUCAAGGCGGAAAUUCAGAAAACUGAGUCUGAGAUGGACAAAACUAAAGAAAGAUUGCAGACUACAAUGCAAGAACUUAAGGCAGCAAAAUUAUCAGAAGCUUUAGCUCUUGAGAAUCUCCAAAAUCUUAUUGAGAAUACCAUGAGAGCCAGAGCUUCUGCUUCUCAACAAAGUUCCUCAAUUACCAUCUCAAAGUUCGAAUACGAGUACUUAACUGGACGAGCAGUCAGAGCUGAAGAAAUUGCAGAUAAAAAGGUAGCAGCAGCUCAAGCAUGGGUAGAAGCAUUGAAAGCCAAUGAGAAGGAGAUAUUGACGAAAAUUGAAAUAGCUCGCAGAGAAAUCCGAGAGACUAGGGUGGAAGAAGAGCAGCAGGUAUAUAGAACUCAGAGAUCACUUUCUGCAAAGAGAGCAGUAGAAGGGGAAAUCAGAAACUGGAGACACAAGCGAGAGAAAAACACGCAAGCUGAGAACUUGGAACGACCAUUGCAGAGAAAAUCAAUGAAAAGUAAUAACAAUUCGACUCCAAGAAAGUCCAUGAAAGGUAAUGAUAAUUGGACUCCAUCCAAACGUGGCAAGGUUCGCAAUUCUGCUUCUCCAGCAGUUAGAACGACUCCUGGAUCAACUUCUUUCAUUAUCAGGAAGAAGAAAAAGGUGAUGCCAAAUUUAGCCAAGUUUUUUAGCGGCAAGAAAAUUGGCAAGCAUCCAUGAGAGCUUAUACACGUGUAAUGUUUAAGCUGCUAGCAUUGUGAAACAGUUCAAAAAAAUUGCUGCAUUCAAUAUGCGUUGCAAGCUAACAGUUCACUUUAGUAUGUUUUUGUAAUUGGCGUUUGUCUUCCAAGUUUCAUCAGUUUCACUUUUAUGCAUUCGCUUUUACUUCCAGCAAAUGAUAAAUAAGUCACAAAUUAUGAUUAUUUCUUCAACACUUGAACCAUUAAGGUAGAAUCCAUACAUAUUAUGACAAACUUAGCAGACAAAUACACGAUGAGUUACUAUAAGAUCCUAUCAUUAUUUGUAAGUGAUCCAUACAUUUUGCAUAGUCAUUUAGGUCUAAUUUCACAAUCAUUUUAUUUGGUUAUUAGUCAUUUUUAGCUAAUUUCAUUAGUUAAUUAGUUAGUUUU